AAAAGAUGGUUAAGGACUUGACCAGGUACCCUCACUUACGAUGUCAACAACUUCGAUGCACUCCUGGAAGUUCAUAAUCUAUGUUCUGGAUGAUGUCAAAAGGAAAAGUUCAUGAUCCAGGGUCCCCUAGUCUGAGCAUUGAAGGUGCGGACCAUAGUAAAGCACCGAAAAAUUCUUUGUACUGUCCUCCGAUGUUAACUGACUGCAUGAUUACAAGAUGGAAUAUUUACUUCCCAGCAGAAAAAGGGAAGCUUGUGCUUUGCAUGGACUUCCAAAUGAAUCAUGGGAUGAAUCAUAGAGGAUGGCUUUCAUUGGGUACUGUUCAUAGUGAUUGCUGGGUGCUCUCAAUGGCCUUAUGGUUUUGUGUCUCACUUAGUUAGAACAACAGGAAUGAAAUUACCAAUAAGAGUUGAUUCAGUUGGUAAGAAGUUGACACAUAACCCACAAGACCAUGAGUUUGAAUCCUGCUACCAAUGUAAGGAUCUGGUUGGUAGGUGAUCUGUAAGUAUUUCUAUAAGCGCUUUUUGAACAUGGAAAUAUGUCUUAACCCUGAUGAGUUCUCAAGACCUAACUCAACUAAACUUUUUCAUACAAAAAAAACACGGAUGAAAUCAGGACUUUCUUGCUACUGUUACUCCAUUAUUAACCAAAAUGUAAGGAGUAUAUGCCACUCUUCUUUGGGAUUUAGUAUUGGUUAUUCGUAUAUCUUCCUUCAGUUACCUUCAAAUUUAUACAUACUAAGAAAAGUGGUUAAAUAUUAGCUAAAACAUUGGAGUUAUAUUCUUAUUAAUUGUAUUAAAUCUUUCCGUCAUAUUAAUUCAUGCUUUCCACUACUCUUGCUUGGUAGUUCCUAAUGUAGGGUAUAUAUACAAAAAAAUUAUUUAUGCU